ACAGUACAAACUGAACAGGCCGGGGAAACCUGGGGCCGGGUCACAGAAGUGACAGUGGAGAAUAAGACGAUAUGUACAUCCACGGGACAGU
rnacentral:ncRNA from 1 species